rnacentral:rRNA from 1 species
UAUGGCUGUUCGCCAUUUAAAGUGGUACGCGAGCUGGGUUUAGAACGUCGUGAGACAGUUCGGUCCCUAUCUGCCGUGGGCGCUGGAGAAUUGAGGGGGCUGCUCCUAGUACGGAGAGGACCGGAGUGGACGCAUCACUGGUGUUCGGGUUGUCAUGCCAAUGGCACUGCCCGGUAGCUAAAUGCGGAAGAGAUAAGUGCUGAAAGCAUCUAAGCACGAAACUUGCCCCGAGAUGAGUUCUCCCUGACUCCUUGAGAGUCCUGAAGGAACGUUGAAGACGACGACGUUGAUAGGUCGGGUGUGUAAGCGCAGCGAUGCGUUGAGCUAACCGAUACUAAUGAACCGUGAGGCUUAACCUUACAACGCCGAAG